CGAAUCUUUGAACGCACAUUGCCGGUCGACUCUUCGGAGGAGACCACAUCUGCCUCAGCGUCGGGAUACCCCCUCACGCACAACCGCGUGGAUCUGGCCCCCCCGGCCCCCUUCGCGGGGGACCGGGCCGGCUGAAAUGCAGAGGCCCGUGCGCGGCCCACUUGUGGCCCCGACUAGGUAGGUAGCUCGCUACUGCUAGGCGGCGGCUCGGUGCCGCGGACUCUGGGCCGCAAAGGAUACUCCCAUUCAUUCGACCUGAGUUCAGGUGAGGCUACCCGCUGAACUUAAGCAUAUCAAUAAG
rnacentral:rRNA from 1 species